rnacentral:misc_RNA from 1 species
AACGCAAAUUGCGCUUCUCUCCGGAGGAGCACGUCUGUUUGAGCAUCAUUAAGCAACCACUCACAGUGUUAUUCUUUUUUUCAUUCAUUGAAAUAAAGAGUAACGAUUGUGGAAUCUGAGACUUCUUUUCCUCCAAGUUAAGGGUCUUGAAAUAUUGAACUUUCGAAGCUGAAGUUACUUUGGAUUUUGAAACAAAGGAAAGCUAUCGAUGGAAAGCGUAGUAGGUACACUUUGUGCGCCCUAUCGCCUGUACAUCGUUUCCUUUUAUUUUCAAUUUGCAAAUUCGGCCGAGAUAUGGGUUCCCUCUUUUCUUUUAUUCGAUCUCAUUCUCAAUUUAUUAUUUAAAUACUGAGGAGAGGAAAAAGAAAAACUAAACAUUGUAUUAUCGAACAGUAUGUUUGAACAAUGCAAAUUUGAUCUCAAAUCAGGUGAGACUACCCGCUGAACUUAA